AACGCACAUUGCGCCCUUUGGCAUUCCGAAGGGCAUGCCUGUUCGAGCGUCAUUAUCCUCUCUCAAACCCCCGGGUUUGGUGUUGGACCGCGUUGGCCGUAAAGGCCAACUGGUCUCAAAGACAAUGACGGCGUCCCAGGGACCCUCUUCGCACUGAGCUUUCCGGAGCACGCGUAGAGUUUCAAGGACCCAGGGACCCGGUCACCUCCAAAAACUUUUUACAGGUUGACCUCGGAUCAGGUAGGAAUACCCGCUGAACUUAA
rnacentral:misc_RNA from 1 species